GGGGAAUUCUCCGCAAUGGGCGAAAGCCUGACGGAGCAAUACCGCGUGAGGGAGGAAUGCCUUUGGGUUGUAAACCUCUUUUCUCAGGGAAGAAGAUCUGACGGUACCUGAGGAAUAAGUAUCGGCUAACUCCGUGCCAGCAGCCGCGGUAAUACGGAGGAUGCAAGCGUUAUCCGGAAUCAUUGGGCGUAAAGCGUCCGCAGGUGGUUUCCAAAGUCUGCUGUUAAAGACUGGAGCUCAACUCCGGAACGGCGGUGGAAACUUGGAAACUAGAGUUCGGUAGGGGUAGCAGGAAUUCCCAGUGUAGCGGUGAAAUGCGUAGAUAUUGGGAAGAACAUCGGUGGCGAAGGCGUGCUACUGGACCGUAACUGACACUCAGGGACGAAAGCUAGGGGAGCGAAAGGGAUUAGAUACCCCUGUAGUCCUAGCUGUAAACGAUGGAAACUAGGUGUGGCUUG
rnacentral:rRNA from 1 species